CUUGACAUCCAGCGAACUUUCCAGAGAUGGAUUGGUGCCUUCGGGAACGCUGAGACAGGUGCUGCAUGGCUGUCGUCAGCUCGUGUUGUGAAAUGUUGGGUUAAGUCCCGNAACGAGCGCAACCCUUAUCCUUUGUUGCCAGCGAUUCGGUCGGGAACUCAAAGGAGACUGCCGGUGAUAAACCGGAGGAAGGUGGGGAUGACGUCAAGUCAUCAUGGCCCUUACGAGUAGGGCUACACACGUGCUACAAUGGCGCAUACAAAGAGAAGCGACCUCGCGAGAGCAAGCGGACCUCAUAAAGUGCGUCGUAGUCCGGAUCGGAGUCUGCAACUCGACUCCGUGAAGUCGGAAUCGCUAGUAAUCGUGGAUCAGAAUGCCACGGUGAAUACGUUCCCGGGCCUUGUACACACCGCCCGUCACACCAUGGGAGUGGGUUGCAAAAGAAGUAGGUAGCUUAACCUUCGGGAGGGCGCUUACCACUUUGUGAUUCAUGACUGGGGUGAAGUCGUAACAAGGUAGGCGUAGCGAG
rnacentral:rRNA from 1 species